GACAGAGGGUGCAAACGUUGUUCGGAAUUACUGGGCGUAAAGCGCGUGUAGGCGGUUGGGUAAGUCGGAUGUGAAAGCCCCGGGCUCAACCCGGGAAGUGCAUUCGAUACUACUUGGCUAGAGUACUGGAGAGGAUGGUGGAACUCUCGGUGUAGAGGUGAAAUUCGUAGAUAUCGAGAAGAACACCGGCGGCGAAGGCGGCCAUCUGGACAGAUACUGACGCUGAGACGCGAAAGCGUGGGGAGCAAACGGG
rnacentral:rRNA from 1 species